GAUGAACGCUGGCGGCGUGCCUAAUACAUGCAAGUCGAGCGAACAGAUGAGGAGCUUGCUCCUCUGACGUUAGCGGCGGACGGGUGAGUAACACGUGGAUAACCUACCUAUAAGACUGGGAUAACUUCGGGAAACCGGAGCUAAUACCGGAUAAUAUAUUGAACCGCAUGGUUCAAUAGUGAAAGACGGUUUUGCUGUCACUUAUAGAUGGAUCCGCGCCGCAUUAGCUAGUUGGUAAGGUAACGGCUUACCAAGGCAACGAUGCGUAGCCGACCUGAGAGGAUGAUCGGCCACACUGGAACUGAGACACGGUCCAGACUCCUACGGGAGGCAGCAGUAGGGAAUCUUCGGCAAUGGGCGAAAGCCUGACGGAGCAACGCCGCGUGAGUGAUGAAGGUCUUCGGAUCGUAAAACUCUGUUAUUAGGGAAGAACAAAUGUGUAAGUAACUAUGCACGUCUUGACGGUACCUAAUCAGAAAGCCACGGCUAACUACGUG
rnacentral:rRNA from 1 species